AUGGAUCGUGUGACAAACCAAAAAAGCCAGAUAUUCUUUGUUGAUGGUCCUGGAGGCACUGGGAAGACGUACUUGUACAAGGCAUUGCUUGCGAGGGUCCAUGAAUUUGCUAUGACAAAGCGUCAAGCAGUUGAGACGCUUGACAGAUUGCUACAGGAUAUAAUGGAAUGUCCUCUACCGUUUGGUGGAAAGGUUGUUGUCUUGAUGGGGAUUUCAUGCAGGUCCUCCCCGUUGUGA
rnacentral:rRNA from 1 species